UUACUGAUUUAACAGGUGUGUAAUAGAGAAAACCGUCCUUGGUCGGUAAUUGUCAGACUAGAAGGCGAGCCAUAUAACAGGGAGACGUUUGAGAUGGUUGUCAAAGAGGAAGAGGAAGACAUUGAAGAGUUACCCCCUGUCCAGUAUUACAUGGGAUGUUUCUGUCACCCAAGAACGAAGCUUUUCCAUAACCUGUAUCAUUUUGGGCAUUAUCUAUACCAUAGAUGCAAGGAAAUGCUGGAGGAUCUUGAUGAUGAUAAGAAGAAAAUUGACACUGUGGCCACAGAUGAGUCAUUGUUCAAUGAGAUGUAUACCAAGUUGAAGAAAUGGAUGAACGAAGCAGAGACAGAUUAUACUGAGGACGGUGAAAGGGCAAAUAAUAAAUGGACCCGAGAAUAUAAUUUUUGAAUUAAAUUUGCAAGCACCAAUUUGGUGGAAUUUCAAGAAGUCAAUAUUAUGUCUUGGACCAUUUAGUAACAGACAUUACAAAAAUAAUUCUAGCAAUAUUGAGUUUAAUUCAUUAACCUUUACCCUGCUAAAUUUCUAAAAUGGACCAGUCUAUCAUUUAGUUUGGGCAGUAUCAAUUAUUAUUCAAAGGGGUGUUCACUGAAAAUUUACUGAAUGAAUAGUGACCAGUGCAGACUAUGAUCAGACUGCAUGGAUAUGCAGGUUCAUCUUUGUCUGUACUGGUUGCAAAGGCAGAAUAACUUGACGCCAGCAGGCUAAAGGUUAAACAGUAUAUUAUACUUAGAAAUCAUUAAUACUUGUGGGGGACUACUUUUUAGCUCGACUAUUCGAAGAAUAAGUAGAGCUAUCCUACUCACCACGGCGUCGGCGUCAGCGUCGGCGUCGGUGUCGGCGUCGGCGUCGGCGUCGGCGUCACACCUUGGUUAAGUUUUUCGUACCAGUCCACAUUUUGACAAAGUCUUUUGAGAUAAAGCUUUGAAACUUUCAACACUUGUUUACCAUCAUCAUGGCCAGUUAUAGGCAAGAGCACAUAACUCCAUCAAUGAUUUUGGCUGAAUUAUGGCCCCUUUUGACUUAGAAAUUAUGGUUAAGUUUUUCGUACCAGUUCAUAUUUUGACAAAGUCUUUUAAGAUAAAGCUUUGAAACUUUCAACACUUGUUUACCAUCAUCAUGGCCAGUUAUAGGCAAGAGUACAUAACUCCAUCAGGGAUUUUGGCUGAAUUAUGGCCCCUUUUGACUUAGAAAUCAUGGUUAAGUUUUUCGUACCAGUUCAUAUUUUGACAAAGUCUUUUAAGAUAAAGCUUUGAAACUUUCAACACUUGUUUACCAUCAUCAUGGCCAGUUAUAGGCAAGAGCACAUAACUCCAUCAAUGAUUUUGGCUGAAUUAUGGCCCCUUUUGACUUAGAAAUCAUGGUUAAGUUUUUCGUACCAGUUCAUAUUUUGACAAAGUCUUUUAAGAUAAAGCUUUGAAACUUUCAACACUUGUUUACCAUCACCAUGGCCAGUUAUAGGCAAGAGUACAUAACUCCAUCAGGGAUUUUGGCUGAAUUAUGGCCCCUUUUGACUUAGAAAUCUUGGUUAAUAUUUCGUACCAGUUCAUAUUUUGACAAAGUCUUUUCAGAUAAAGCUUUGAAACUUUCAACACCUGUUUACCAUCACCAUGUCCAGUUAUAGGCAAGAGUACAUAACUCCAUCAAGGAUUUUGGCUGAAUUAUGGCCCCUUUUGACUUAGAAAUCUUUGUUAAGUUUUUCGUACCAGUUCUUAUUUUUAUAAAGUGUUUGACAUAUGGCUUUGAAACUUUUAUCACUUGUUUAGUAUAAUAGUCUCUAUCUGUAGGAAAUAACUCUGUCGUCUAUUUUGGCUGAAUUAUUGUCCUUUUUGGACUUUGAAAUUGCCUCAUAUAUUGCCAUUUAGUGCAAGACUUAUCGAAAUCAAAGUAAUACAGGAACAUUGUUUGUCUAAUCUAUUUAUUUCUUUAGUCUGAAUAUCCGUGGAAAUAUUUUGACCCCAUUCUUCAAUCAAUUCUUCGAAUAGUCGAGCGCGCUGUCAUCAGACAGCUCUUGUUUGUGGAUUUUGUGGUUGAGUCAAUCCAUAAAAUGAAAUCCUAAUAAAUGCCACAAAAUGCUAUGCCCUAGAAAUUAAAUGAUUUCACAGUAAAAGUUUUUGCAGUGAAAUUUUGGAAUUUAUACUGAAAUAUUGGACUUUCUUUUGUACAGCAAUAUGGUAUUAGUAUAAAUAUAAAUCCACAGUGUUCAUAAAUGAUCAACUCUUGUGUUCAAAUGUUACGGAUCAUAUUCCCAAGAUGUGUUCAACAAAACGUUUUUUAGAGCCACAAAUAGCGGCAUUCUCUGAUGAAACUUGGUACAUGUACAUUUAGAAUUUAAGAAUGGAAUCCGGUGUUCACUGUCUCUGUCAUAGAUGUUUUGGAGUGUUUCAAUAUUGAGGAGAAUCACAGAGAGCUUGAUUGACAUAGCCUUGUGGUAAAAACCACACAUCCAGUGUGUGAGGUAGGGGUUUGUUUCCUGGCUACACAAUACAAAAAAAGUGAAAAGGGGUACCAGUAGCUCCCUUGUUUGGCACUUAGCAUUCAUGCACCCUAGUUUUAAUUGAUACCAUCAUGAAUGAGAGGUUGAGAGUGAUUAGUAUAUGUUGUAGAACUUGUUUUACAGUAGUCUAAAAUAGAUUAGUAUAGAGUAGUGGAAUGGCAUUAAAAAACAACUGUUAUGGAAAGCCUUGGAUGUCAAAGGUCAUACUUUGAUCUUACAGAUGAAAGUCAAUUUUUUAAUAGACAUUUUAUUAUUUAUCAUUGGUUUUAACCUAGAAUUGCAUGAACUAGAGUGAAAUUUUACAUUUCCUUGUUUUUGAAUUCUGCUAUUAGUGGUUUAUCAUAUUUGCGUAAUACAUAUUUAUGUACUGUAGCAUUUUUGUGAGAUGUCCAGUAAGCUUAGCUUUAGAUUCCAGCACAAAAAAUCUCUUUAUUUGAUUGUAGGGAACUUAAUGCCCUUGACGAUUUUACGAAUAUGUCAAGUAGUACUGGCUCCAAAGUUAUAAAAUUGAGACCAGUCCAAAAACGCGCUGUUGCCAUUAGUCAAUUUCCAUUCUGAUAUGCUUGCUUCUGUUAAAACACAUUUACGCUAAAAUGACAUCACAUUAACAUGCGAUGAUGUCAAUGUCUUAGAUGCGACCAAGAAAGAGCAUUGCUAUAUUUUAUUUUAGAUUAAGGGCAUAUUACAAUCCAAAUAAUGUAUAGCAAAAUCGUGUUUUGCCUGAAUUUAUACACUAAAAAAUGGUUAUACGUCGCCAGAAUAAUUCACUGAAAUUAUUCUGUGGACGUUUAACCCCUUUCCGUGUAUUUAUAAUGUUAAAACACGGUUUUUCUAUACAUUAUUUCUUAAUUAUGUGAUCAGAAACAACCAGUCAGGUGCUGGAGUUUUUUGACUGGUUUAGAACUUUAGUUUCAUAACCUUGGUACCAGAUAUACACUGGUGACACACUAGUGCAGUGAAAAUGCUUGCUUAGUUCAAGAGACAUUCCUUUUUAAAUAUACUUUAUCUUUUAGAUGAAGCUGAUUGACUGUGCCAGCUUUAGGAUUGAAGAGAAAUUUAAGAUUUUUCAUUAUUGAUAUUCAUUACAGUUUUUGUUCUAUCAUAUCAAGAAGUUUUUGUAUUUUAAAUAGUUUUUGUAAUUGUUCAAGAAGUUGUUGUAUUUUAAAUAGUUUUUGUAAUUGUUAAUUGCAUGUUCAUUUUCAUUGUUUAGAUAUUUAGAUGUUUGUUCAUCUUGUAUUUCAUAUUUAACUAUCAAACCAUAUAUAUGGCACAUACCAUAUCUUAGAUAUCAGUGAAAAUGAGCAGGUAUGGAUACGAGUUGAUUCUCAAAAAUAGAUGCAUGUACAGCUGAACCCCUCUAAACCGGACAGCUGGUGAGCAGAGCUAAUUUUUGUUUGGAGGACUUUUCUGUAUAGAGGAAUUUUAUUGAUGGCAUAUAUACUAUAAAGAGCAAAAGUAACAGAUCGUUACUUGGAAAUCUGAUACAUUUAAAAUCAUGAUCUUGUUUAGUUACCUCAUGAAAAAAUGACAUUAACCUGUUUUGGACAUAAGUUACUAAAUAGAGUGUACUUUAAUAGUCAUGAUAAAAGGCUGCUAUGAAAAGACAGAUUGCCUUUAAGAUUGUUUGGUUUGCAGUGGUAAUUUUGUGUUGACAUAUACAGCUUUGGUAUGUUUUUUUUAGCUCACCUGUCACAAAGUUUUUGAAAUGCAAAAUACACAAUGUUGUUCCCUUUAAAGCCACUUGCCCAAAGUUUGGGUGAAAUUAUCCACCAUGUUUACUUCCACCAAAAUUGGCAUAGAUUGUAUAUAUGAUGCUGAAAAAAGAUAAAGUGGGGGAACAUAAAAGUUAGAUGUUGGUAAAAGUGCAAUAAAGAAUGUAAAACUGUCUGCAUUAUUUCAAAAGUGUUGCAAUGGUUUUGCUACCUUCUUCACAAUAUUUUUGGUAAUUUUUAAGAAUAUCUUGCAAAAAUCAUAUGUCAAAAAGUUUGUACCACAAGUCACUUUCAGAGUCCUCACUUUUUAUGGAUUUUUGAAAUAAAUUAUUUUUUGCCUAAAAUGUGAAAGUUAGUCACUUUAAAAUAACUGUUAAAGUGUUGAUGAGAAAAGCUGAUACGGACAGAUUGUCAUAAUGAAAAGUUUCACUGUGUCUUGGCAGACCAUCAAGAGAGAGAGGAUGUUUGUUUGUUUCAGUGUAAGAUUUAAAUAUCUUACACGGGUGAACACCAGAUGCAAUAUUUUCAUAAGUGGCUUAGCUACAAGUGAAAAUGUAAGAUAAGGUGUUUAUGAGUUAUAGAUAUUUUGAUCUUGCGUGUAUAUAAAAGAAACAAUUUUUAUGUUUUGACUAAAUUUACCCAUUUUAUAGUUUUUUACCAGUGAAAAAUAUAUUUAGUAUUUAUCACUGUGAAAAUACCAGAUAUAUUUCACUCUAAUAUUUCCAUAAUUCACUGAAAAGCAUGUGAUAAAAAUAUUGCAUGAUUUCUGUAUGGUAGAAUUAAGUUAAGGUAGAAUGCGACACUUUGUGAAAUUUCAAGUAGCCUCUUGAAAUUUGGCAUGUGUGAAAUUGACCAUAUUUCAAACAAGGUGCAGUUUAUUUUAUACCAAUAGAGCCAACCAGUUUUUGUACAUGAGACGUCAAAGUUGACCACCAAAGCCCGCUUUUGAAAAUGAUGUUACCGUGUAUCAUUGGCAACUGUUACGGGUACUGCAAUGGCACCAGCCAACAAAUUUUCUUAAAUUCUACACUAUUCAAAGAGAAUUAAUUUUUCCUUUAUGCUGAUAUAAAAACCAUUGUUUUACGCCAACAAAUAUUUGAAAAAUGGAAAGAAAAUCAUUGUUUUUGACUAAAAAUGGACGUUCAGUUUCGCUGCAUUUUUCGGCUUUAAAGCAUGAUAUUAAAAAUGUUUGAAAUGUGGUCAACUUCUCACAUGCCAAAUUUCAAGAUGCUACGCGAAAGUUCGCAAAGUGUCGCAUUCUACCUUAAAACAUUAAAUGAAAAGAGAUGUGUUUUUUUCAUAUGUAGGAUUGAAAUACCUAUCACUCUGGAACACCAUCAUUUACAUUUUCACUCUUUACUGUGCUGUAAAAAUACUGCAUCUGGUGUUAACUUGGUGAAAGAUAUUUUGACCUUAUACUGAAACACACAGAUAUCCUCUAUGUCUGUUACUAUAAAUCAAUCUAUUAUAUCUUUUAGAAAAAAAAGCAUAUGUUUUAAUAUUAGUUAAGUGAUUUCACUCUGCAAUUUUAAUUAUUUAUUUUGUUAAGUUUUGAAUUAAGAUUAGUUUUACAAAUUAUGUUUGUAAAGUCAAAAAAGUGUUGAUAAAAUGUAUUUGUUUUGUAGUCCUUAGAAGUGGUGAAGUGUUCAGGUGUUCUGUUCACAUGGAUAUAAAACUAGUUAAGUAGAUUGGAUGAUGUUCAAAAUGGUCUUAUUUUUGCUUAUUCUUGCAAACUAUGUCACGCAAGAAUUUAAAGCAGUCAAGAAAUGUUACCCAGAAUUACCUGUAGCUAUGGCUGGUGAAUUCGUAAAGAAGACUAUCCACUAGAUAGUUCACUAGAUAAGACAAGAUAAGAUAUGAAAUAAGUUUUAUUUUACUGUUAAAGGACAUAUUUUUGCUGGGUCAAAAUUUCGCGAAUUUGAAAUAUUGAAUAUGUUCGCGAGGUUUCAUAUUCGUGAAAUUGUAAAAAAAAGUUGAUCUGCUUAUUUCAGCUUUUUCUGAAGACAGGUGUACAUAAAAGUUACACAUCAUAAAGCGUUACCUUUAGAAUGUCUACUGUAAAGAUCAAUCGCUAUUAAUUGUGUGGAUGUUUUAACACCCUCUAAUUACCUAUAAUGCUUGACAACUCUUUACCUGUAACAAACAUGGUGUUACAUAUACUCUAAAUCCAGGGGCAGAUAUGUCAGUGUUUGUUUAAUAAACACACUGCAAACACAAAUGUUGCCACACUGUUCUAAUUAAACAAUUAAUAUGUUGUUUUUUCUGGUCGUCUUAGAAUUAUACUAUUUUUGGUUAUUAUGGAAACACUAAACUUAGCAAAUUUUGUAAAUAUGGCCAUUUCCUUUUGAUAUGUUGGGGAAGGUAUGUGUAAUGAAACGAUUUGUACUUAUGGUCAAUAUUUAAGCGAGAAUUUUCACGAGCAAAUAUAGCGAAAAUUUAACCCGCGCAAAAAUUUCUCCUUUUACAGUAGUUGACAAAGACAUAUUGUACCCCAACAAUACGGCUCUUAAAAAAUACUGUAAACUUUGUCUGGAGUGUUUGUAUACUUUGUUGACACAAAAUGUGAAAAAAGGAUACUUCCAAUUAUUUUGCAUUAAUAUAUUUUUGUAAAUUAUACUUAUUUAUUUAAAUAAGAAAUUUCUUGGUUAUAGUCAUUUGUUGGUUAGACUACUGUAAACAGUAUCAGUCCCUAUGUUCUUCAACUCUGCUAAGUCUUUUAUGUUAGUUUUUUUUAUCCAAAGUAUGUGGACUAACAGUAACGUCAGUUCACUGAUUUGUUUUGUCCUAUCCUUCAUCAUUUGUUGCAAAUUGCUCAUUGUGAGCUUUUAGGAUUGUUGAAUAUGUGUCAUCCAUCUGUCAUCUACAGUAUCUUUAAAGAAAUUCUCCUCCUAUACCAUUGUGCCAAAUUCAACCAAACCUCACAGAUAUAGUAGGUACAUGUGCUUGGAAGGUCACCUUUCAGAUUCCUUCAAAUCUGGAUCAUCCAUGCUGAAUACUGGUUGCCAUGACAACCAAUAGGAAAAUCCUUAAAAAUAUUUGUCUGAGAAACAACAGAAGUUGAAGAAGGCACUUGACCCUUAAAGAUGCAGCUACAGCUAAAAAUUUGAAAAACCUUUAAACAACUUCUUCUUAUGAACGGCAUGAUGGAUCUUCAUCAGACUUGAUCUUUAGUAUUGUUAUAUGGUCCUUUCUCAGAUAAGUUCUAAUGGGAGCACUUGGUCCCUAUUUAGGGCCUCCUAGAGCUAAGAAUAGAAAAAAACAUUUAAAUGACUUUUUCUCUUGAACUGCAUAAUGAAUCUCCAUCAAAUUUGAUAUUUAGUUCAUCAUUGAAAGGUUUUGUUUAAAAUUUGUUCAAAUGGGGGCCACUUUUGGCCACUUGUAGAGUGAGCUAGAGCAAAAAUAAGAGAUACAUUAAAAUGACUUCUUCUCAUGAACCACAUGAUGGAUCUUCAUCAAACUUGAUCUGUAGCAUCUUUAUUAGGUUCUUUCAUAUGGGGACACUUGGCCCCUUUUAGAGGCCUCUAGCACAAAAAAAUAUAAAAUGCCUUGAAACAGCUUCUGCUCAUGCACUGCUUGGUAGAUCUCAUCCAGUUGUUAGAUAGAAUCAUAAGGUCUUCUCUUCAUUUUGUUCAGAUAGGGGCACUAAGCUCUAUUUUGGGGGCCACUAGAGCUAAAAAUAGAAUACCUUUAAAUAGCUUCUCUUGAAGCGCUUGGUGGAUCUUCAUCAGACUUGGACUGUAGCAUUCUUAUAAAGUCCUCUAUUAAAUUUCUUCAAAUGGCACUUUGUCUUUUAAAGGGGACAGUAGAGCUAAAAUUAGAAAUAUCUUUAAAUGACUUUUUCUGGAACUACUUGGCAGAUAAACUUAGUUUGUAGUUGUAACAUCUUCCCUUAGAUUUGUUCAAAUGGGUGCACUUGACUUGUUUGAUGUUUUUCAUACUAAACACAGCCAUUACAUUACAUGAUUCAGUGUUUUAUAUAUAAUUUUAAGGUCAUAUAAUAAAGGUCAGGUAAGUGACUAAGGGCAACUAUGGCCCACUUGUUGAAUUUUGCAGGAAUAGGUAAUUUUACUAUCAUAGAGUGUACAGAGUAACAGAAUUCUGUUUGAACCUGUGCAGGUGUAGUAUUUCAAUUCUCCAUUUUAUAUUGUUGUAAAUAAUUUUGUCAUAAAACUUUAUUCAAUGAUCUCAGUUUCGUGAAGCACGUCUCGGCACCAAAAUAUUGUCCAUUUAUUUUAGCAAUACCUUUCUUAAUAAUAAAUAUAACAAUGCCAUGCCAAAGGAAUAUGAUUGUAAAAAAUUUUACUUAUCUUACCAUGUAUGGGGAAAAAUAAAGUUUGUUGAAGAUGCAAGAUCAUAGUCCACCUUCAAAAUUGCACAAUAGAUUAACUGUGUUGUCAAGUAACAGAAACUAUUAAUUGAAUAUUCACUGGCUAGGCUUGAAAUACUAUUACUAGCAUUUCAACUUAAAAAUGGUGUUACCAGCAUUUUAGCAACAUCUAUUGUUUUAGAUUUUUAAAAAAUUGCUACUAAUGUGCUUCCACAUUACUACAUGCUUGAUUCAUGUUUGCAGAGGAGGAACAAUUUUGAAUAUUUUUAUUAGCUCACCUGUCACAUAGUGACAAGGUGAGCUUUUGUGAUUGCCCUUCAUCUGUCAUCAGCAGUACGUCGUUCGUCCAUAAUUCCUUUCGAAAACUGGCCAGAUCCCAUCAUGGGUUCCAGAGUUAUGGCCCCUUAAAGGGCCAGAAUUUGCUAUUUUGGCUUGUGAACAUGGUAGAGAUCACAUUUUGCAAUCAGUUUUAAUCAUACCUUCACACAACUUUUAUUGGCAUAAUAUCUCGGUUCCUUUCGAUAACUGGCCAGAUCCCAUCAUAGAUUCCGAAGUUAUGGCCACUUAAAGGGCCAAAAUUUGCUACUUUGGCUUUUGCAGCCAUAUAGAGACUUCAUUUAUGGUUUCUAUUGAUACAAACUUGCAAAAUAUCUUUAACAACAAUAGAUCUUGGAUUCCAUGAUGAAUCCAUCAGAUCCAAUCAUAGGUUCCGGAGUUACGGCCCCUGAUUGACCACUGAAAGAGCCAAAAUUAGUUAAUUUGUACCUUGUGAACACGAUAGAAGUGACACUUUACGUUUGAUUUUAACUACACUUACACACAACUUAAGUCACAAUAAGAUCUCGGUUCCUUUUGAAAACCGGCUAGAUUUCUUCAUGGGUUCUACAGUUAUUGCCCUGAAAGGGGCAGACUUUUCUAUUUUGGCACUUUCAGCCAUAUAGAGGUUUCAUUUAUGCUUUGAUUUGAUACAAACUUGCACAGAAUGUUUAUCUUGAUGAUCUGUAGGCCAUGUUAGAAACUAGGUCAAAUGGGGUCAAAAACUAGGCCACCUGGUCAAAUCAAAGGAAAAGCUUCUCAACACUAUAGAGGCCACAUUUAUGACCCUACCUCCAUGAAACUUGGUCAGAAUGUUUAUCUUGAUGAUUUCUAUGCCAAGUUAGAAACUGGGCCAUGUGGGGUCAAAAACUAGGUCACUAGGUGAUGAUUCCUAGGCCAGUUUGAAAUCUGGGUCAUAUGGGGUCAAAAAGUAGGUCACCUGGUCAAAUCAAAGGAAAAGCUUGUUAACACUCUUGAGGCCACAUUUAUGACUCUAUCUUCAUGAAACUUGGUCAGAAUGUUUAUCUUGAUGAUUCCCAGGCCAAGUUAGAAACUGGGUCAUGUGAGUUAAAAAAAUUAGGUCACCAGGUCAAAUCAAAGGAAAAGCUUGUUAACACCCUAGAGGCCACAUUUUUUACCCUAUCUUCAUGAAACUUGGUCAGAAUGUUUAUCUUGAUGAUUUCUAGGCCAGGUUGAAAUCUGGGUCAUAUGGGUUGAAAAAGUAGGUCACGUGGUAAAAUCAAAGGAAAAGCUUAUUAACACUCUUGGGGGCCACAUUUAUGGCUCUGUCUUCAUGAAACUUUGUCAGAAUGUUUAUCUUGAUGGUUCCUACGCCAAGUUAGAAACUGGGUCAUGUGUGGUCAAAAAAUAUGUCACCACUCAAAUCAAAGGAAAAGCUUGUUAACACUGUAGAAGCCACAUUUGUGACCCUAUCUUCAUGAAACUUGGUCAGAAUGUUUAUGUUGAUGAUUGCAAGGCUAAAUUUAACAGAUGAGCGAUGUAGGGUCAUCAUGACCCUCUUGUUGACAGUCUGCUUAAUUUUGUUGUAUGGAUAUAUUCAUUUAUAUAAAUGCCAUAAUUAUCUAGCCAUAAAAAUGUUAUUGCUUAAUUGUUUUUCUUCUUUUAAUAACAUUUAUGAUUACUAGUAUGUCUUUCUUGUGUUGUCCAUGUUGUAUAAACAAUUGAAACUUCCAAGAGAUCGAGCGUUUUAAUUUGAGAUAAGCGAAAUUUUACUACUAUUGUUAUUUUGCGCACAUGUUUUCGAGAGGGUUUGAAAAUGUCUUCAAGAUUUUUUAGAUAAGCAAGUUCGAGAUAUCGAGUUUCAACUGUAUCAUAAAUUGUAAAAAUUCUGUUUAUCUUUUCUUCAAAAUAAUAAAGUAAUGUUUCCUUU